rnacentral:rRNA from 1 species
UACGGAGGAUCCGAGCGUUAUCCGGAUUUAUUGGGUUUAAAGGGUGCGUAGGCGGCCUUUUAAGUCAGCGGUGAAAGUCUGUGGCUCAACCAUAGAAUUGCCGUUGAAACUGGGGGGCUUGAGUAUGUUUGAGGCAGGCGGAAUGCGUGGUGUAGCGGUGAAAUGCAUAGAUAUCACGCAGAACCCCGAUUGCGAAGGCAGCCUGCUAAGCUGCAACUGACAUUGAGGCUCGAAAGUGUGGGUAUCAAACAGG